ACUACAGGAUAAUAAAGUUAUUCAGAGGAAAAUACAAGAGGAAAUGACAGGAAUAUAAACAUGCAGGUCUUACAGCUGCUCCUCUAAUCGAACAUAUGCUUUUAAUGCAACGCUCGGCUGGCAUUUCAAUGGGGCCUCCAGCACCGGAGACAAUGUGGCAUCAACGCCUUGACACCAACUGUCCUGCAGGACUGGUCGCAUCACUGCUUUCCAACAAGACGAAGGACAAGAUGCGAAUCAAUACAGUCCAUCGUGAUG